UUUUUUUUCUAAGAUAGGUAAACCCCUCUUUUGUUCUCUAAUUUCUCUCUCUCUCUCUCUCUCUCGUUUUGAAUAAACACACAAAUCAGUUCAGAGAGAAUACAAUCAAGACCCUUUCUCAAUCUCUCUACAAAUUCGUGGACUUCUCUUAUGGCGAGACCCAAUCAAGAAGCAAUCGAGACCUUCAUGAGCAUCACCGCGCGCCCGAGUCGGUUGCCUUGUAAAAACUCGAGCAAACUCUUCUAGCUUAGGUUGGUCGGCAACCACCAACUCGGAUGGUACGAUUCUUAUUCCAAUGCUGUCAUCCUUGUCCAAAACUAAGGAACAAUCAGUAGCUAAUGUGAAUAAUAUGAUGCAAAUGAAGACAAAACAUCGAUGUGGAUCAAAAUCAAUCCUGGUCAGGGUAUACAGCUCGAUUCGAGAUUUGAUAUGGACGUGUUUGGUAAUUUGGAGGGCCGAUGGUAGCUCAUUUUGUGUUUUGGUCAUAUUACCUUACAUGUAUUUUGGUUGUGUUGUAAAUUUUAUAUUUUUAUUAGUAUUACGGGGCAUGUUUGGUAAUCUGCCCUUGAUAUUUUAUUUUUGUUGAUAUUAGUAGACAUGUUUUUUGUUGGAUAUUAGGAGAUGUGUUUGGUAAUCUGCAUACGGUUGAUAUUAUAUUUUUGUGGAUAUUAGUAGUUUUUUGUGGAUA